UACACACAUUUAUUAUUUCACACACAUUCCGACACAUGUUCCGGGGUGCCCGCCAUUAAGGUAGGGUCGGAUACAUGGGGGAUGUGGAGGCCUAAC
rnacentral:sRNA from 1 species